CCUCAGUAAGAUCUAACCUCAUAUCUUUGAGUUCUCCCCUGUUAGGACCUAUUUGGUCGUCAUGGACACCCUCCUGAAGGCAGGCAUUCAGACCACACUGAAUGAAGAGCAAUAAUCUUUCGAAGGGAAUGGCUUACGCAGACUUGAAACUUCGAUCACAACAGAACUUCAGCAAGAUGACUCCACUUGUGACAGAUGCUAGCUUCAAAAUACUCCUUUGACCACAUAAUACAUCCUUAAAAUUAAACCCAAUUUCUAUGCUAUAAUUGUGACAUCGAGGUUAAAGCAUGUCCUUAGAGCCUCCGGGAAGGCAUCUCCUCUAGUUCAAGAGGCUGAGGACUGAAGGUUAAUAACUGUUCCUGAACCUGAUGGUGCAAGUCCUGAGGCUCCUGUACCUUCUUCUGGAUAGGAGCAGCAAGAAGAGAGCAUGGCCUGGAUGAUUCUGCCCGAGCUGCUGAGCUCCUCCAGGUGUUUUGUGUGUUUCUCCAACAGUACAACGUUCCACUGGUGUCAAUCACAUUUGUCUGCUCAGAUCUCUGGAAAUGGGACUGGAACUCAGAACUUCCUGAUUCAGAGGCUAAAUGUAAUCACUAAAUUGACAUGGAAAUUGAUAAAAUGUUAAAGACACUGUCCUUGCAGCAAAUUUUGGCUUGUUAUUUUAGUGUGUUUGAAGGCAAAGAAUGGUGGUCAUGGCAUAAGUUCAAAAGGCUCAAUUCUGAGAAAAUGGCCUGUAAUGGAGUUGUGACAGAAUAAAGUAAAGACAUCUGCGGGCUGAGGGAUCAGAUUCAACAUUUUUAAGCCUCACUUAUUAAACAUAUUAAAAAAAAUAAUUACUGUGGUUUGAGAUAAAUUUUCAACAACUAGUUUAAGACUGCACAUAUAGAGAAAUGGCCCAAAGUUCAGCGAUAUCUGUCUUGGG